GUUUCGGUAGUGUAAUUGUCAGGGCACGGUGCCCGGAAAGCAUAAGUAUGAGUUCGAGUCCCGUCCGAGACU
rnacentral:tRNA from 1 species